GUGUUUGUCACCGCAUUAGACUUUUGCUCUUCCUUUGUAUCUACUGCAUGAUUUCAGGGCUUUUAUUUGCUUAUCCUGCCUUCCUCUCCAAGACUGAUGAGGAUGGCUAUCUGUUGAGAAUGAAAAUGGUGCAAGAGCAAGCAGAGGACAGGGCAGAAGUGGGAAGCCUGCUCCAGAGGCAAGAGUGAUGGAAAAACCCUUAUACUUUGGAGAAGUCCAGAUGCUUAAUUUCCAGUAAGUUAACUUCCUCUCUGGCUUUUUUUUUUUUUUUUUUUUUUUAAAGAUCUUUUAAUUAAUCAAGAGUUAGCUGCUGUUGCAUGUGUGGGUGGAGAAUCAACUCUUAGCUCAACAGGAAAA
rnacentral:lncRNA from 1 species